GAUGACGUAGUUUAAGUGAGAAUGGGCGUUCUGCGAAUGCUUGGUGAGUAUAUUCCGUUAUUG
rnacentral:tRNA from 1 species